UGAAGGUGACGUCCGCCCAAACUGGAUGAAUGACAGUUAGGUUCACCAAUCAGCGAGCGGAUUUUGGUUUUUAGAAACUCCGCCUCCUUAAAGUGAACCUACACUAAUAAUCUCUAGUAUCACAAGAGGUAGAACAAUUCCAUGUUCUCUGUCGCCAUUGGAUACUUAAGGUUCAGGGCAAAGAGCUUUCCCACCAUGAAGAAAAUGGACGACCUGCAGCUGACGUCAUAGGAAAAGACUGCCACUAGCUGUACAUUGCAAAAGUUCCUGAAUUCUCAAACACCAGACUAUAUUUCAGGAUUAAAAUAAAGUCUGAUCAAGGAUAAAUAAUGCCUUCGUGCCUGGUGAACAGAUGCAAAAGUAGUUCUGGCAGAAAAGGACAAAGCCGAGGCAUAAAAAUGCACAAAUUUCCAAAUGAUCCCCGAAGAAUCAGAAUUUGGCUCAAACAGACUGAGCAGAACUUUGCUAAUAUAGAAGAAUUAGUCGAAACAAUACAAGAGGGACAAAAGCGUAACAAAUAUUUUCUUUGUUCACUCCACUUCUUGAGGGAGUCAUACCUUCAAACUCCAAACGGACCAGUGUUAAGACCUGAUGCCAUUCCUGUUUUUCCUGCUAUAGAGGAAGGACAGAGUAUAAUCGAAGAAAGUUUGAAAAAAAAACGCCAUCGUGCUAAUAAACCGACAACAAUGCCGUCCUCAUCAAUUGCCAGUGUGGAGGUUGAAUUGUCUGCUUCCUCCUCUGACAAUUUAACUCAAGACACUGAUAACACUCCAGACUCUUAUAUAUCUGAGCCGAAAUUUCGUACUAUUGCAACACAAACUCAAUAUAACUUAACUAACUCUAAAGUAGAUUUUUUGGAUCCUAAAGAGGAACCUGGUGAUUAUUUGAUAACCCCUGAAGCUCCAUCCUUUUGCCAAAUGGGUCCAUGUUUGUCAACAAUCAUUAAAAAAGAGCAAAACGAACCCUAAUGGAUAUACAAGAUUUAUUUUUUAUUUUUUUUUUUUCCUCUUCAUUAGCCAAAUACCACAUGUUCAAACUUUUGUUUCAAGAAAUGGAACCAGAUAUUUCUGAGCAGCUUGGGGUUUUAUUUUCCAUCUUUUUCAAAAAAAAUAAAAAAAGAUAACAAGCGGAGUGAUUUGAUUUUCAGGAAGAUGACUCUCGUGAAGGUGACACAAAAUACAAUAAGAGCUAUAUUUCAGGUAACUCCAGCCUUAAAACUACAGACUGAUCAGGGAGUUAGGACUGCAAAUUGAACUACUGGGUCAACACCAGAACUUAUCUGAUUGAAAGUUGGGUGAUGACAAUUGUAAUUCCAAGGUAAAGAAUUACAAAAAAACAUUUUGUGGCUCUUACUGUAAAAUUACAGGGUUAUGUUAAAAUUACCACAGAUUUUUGUUGUUAGAAACUCAACAUCCCGGUGGCAUCCGUUAUCCAUUUUAAUUAGCUUAAAGGAGUACUCUGAAAUAAACGUAUCCUCAAGCCACAUGAUAGGGGGAAAAGUAGCUGAUUGGGGCGUGUCUGACCACUGGGACCCCCUUGGAUCUCCAGGACAGGACUCCGCUGCUCUGUGAGGAGCGGGUGUAGUCUGCCGGUAGACGGCACGCGCUUUAUUUAUUUCUAUAGGAGCGCCGAUGAUGCCAGACAACUGUACUCGGGUCUUUUCAGCGCUCCCAUAGAAAUGUAUGGAGUGCGUGCCAGAGAUCUUCCUCUUUUUUAUGAGGGUAAAAAAAAAUAAAAAAUGCUUUGACAUCCUAGGUCUUGUCGGAAUUAGUGGAAGAGCCUACUACCAUUACCAAUCAAAAAAAAAAGCCAGUGAUGGUCAUUUUGACAGCCAGAGCUAUAGUCUUAAGUACUGCAUUUACACUGUAAUUGACAUGGUUACUGACUAAAUAUUGGACUUUGAGGUGGAGUAACGCUUCCAAUGUAAACAGCAAUGGAAAAGUGGGGUUUCAAAGUUGAAAUGGAAAGAUUAAUAGAUAACAGAUAUAAUAUACAUAUAUUUGCUUUUGACAUGCUUGUUGGAAUCCGAAAAAGGGACACUGAGUAUGCACAAACUUAGUGUGUGGCAUUACUCACCAGUGUGUGGCAUUACUCUAAAUCAGUGCUCUUAAACUGUGGCCCUCCAGAUUUUGCAAAACUUCAACUCCCAGCAUGCCUGAACAACCGUUGGCUGCUGCCAACGGCUGUCCGGGCAUGUUUGGAGUUGUAGUUUUGCAACAUCUGGAGGGCCACAGUUUGAGUCCAUUGCUCUAAAUGGAUAAAAAAAAAAUAUAUAAUAAUAAUAUGCCAGCCGUUUGCAACUUAGUCGUGAAAAUACUUUGGAUAGAACGGAUUGAACUUGGUGGAGUAUACAAACAUGCGGCAGAAAGAAAGAUCUGGCAAAAGAACUGUUUGCCAGUGUUAAAAUAUGUUGACUGCCAUGAGUGGGACAGAAAUUUGUCUUAAAAAAUAAAAUAAUGCAGUCAUGACCCUAUUGGCAAUGCUGACCGAGAGAAAGUGUGGCUCAAACAAGGUAUUCCACCAUUCAGAGAGCGUUUCUAGCAAACAACUAAUAAAGGAACUUGUUACUCAACUGCCAUGCUGAAAUUUGCUAGAAAACGACCGUAGUCUGGUGCUUAAAGGGUAAACUGUCAGCCUGUUCACCCACACUGAACCCAAUACACUGGGUUAUAUUGUGGGUGAGCAGGAGUCCUACGAGGGGUCACUUACUUAAAUAUGUCCAAUAGGUCUUGAGAUAUGUCCCCCAGAAGGUCCUCUGCUAAAUUCAGUGAAUCGUGCGCAGGGGGCGGGGCUCUACCCACUCAAUUUGCUUAUGCAUUGUCUGUGACUCCACAGUUUUUUCCUUUUUGAAUACCAUACAAAACUAAUACCAUUUUGGUAUAGACACAGUGAAGGUCAGGAAUAAAGUAUCUGCCCUGAGUCAUGACUAAAAUGUUGGAUGUGAGCAAGUAAUUGUAUACAGAUCCAAUUGGAACGAAGAGAACUACAGUGGUGGCACCUAAAGGGAAGUACCAAUGCAUCAUAAGAAAUGUAUACAAUAAAAUGGGUGUUGGAUAUCUGAAAUAAAUAUUUGUUCAUGUUUUUAUAAAUUGCAAGAGCAUAAAUAACACGUUAUUGGAUUUCAAGAGCACCGCAUUUGUGUAGUUGUUUCAGUAUAGCGAUCUUUAAAAAAAAAAAGUGCUAAAUGUAAAGUGUUAAGCUAGGUUCAUGAAAAAAAGAUUUCAGUGUAUGUUGCAUUUUUGCAGCACAUAAAAUUUGCACGGAAAUUUACUCAGUGUGAACCCAGCCUUAUGGUUCAAUAGUAGGAUUGACAAAUUAAAGGGGUAUUCCAGGAAAGUUAAACAGAUUUGUAAAUUACUUCUAUUUAAAAAAAAUCUUUAAUCCUUCCAAUAAUUAUCAGCUGUUGAAGUUGAGUUCUUUUCUGUCUGGCAACAGUGCUCUCUGCUGACAUCUCUGCUUGUCUCGGGAACUGCACAGAGAAGAGGUUUGCUAUGGGGAUUUGCUUCUACUCUGGACAGUUCCUGAGACAGCUGUCAUCAGAGAGCACUUAGACAGAAAAGAACAACUUAACUUCAGCAGCUCAUAAGUACUGGAAGGAUUAAGAUUUUUUUUAAUAGAAAAAAUUUACAAAUCUGUUUAACUUUCUUUCUGGAGCCGGUUGAUAUAUAUAACAAAAAAAGUUCCUGGAUAACCGCUUUAAAUCUUACUUUUUUUCCAUAUUUAAAGUGAGAAUUAUUAGGUGAUAAUGCGUUUUUAUGUGUUAAUUUUUCAUGAUGUUAAUUAAACCUAGUUUUUUUUUUUUUUUUUUUUGUCUCAGUCUUUAUUAGUAAUUUAAAAUAAUUAGUAUGUUUUUAAUAACACACUUCAAUUUGUCCUUACAAUACAAGUGGCCUACUACAAAUGCCAUUUGUCCUGGAAGAGUUCACACUACCAAAUUUCGGAGCAAAUAAUUGGGCUAGAGCAUGCGGACGAAAGCAUUGGUUUAAUAAACAGGAAGAGACCACCUCCAUGGGUCAUAAAAAAAAAUAAAAAUAAAAAAACAGCAGAUGGGAUAUUUUUCUUAUUCAAAUUAUUAUUAUAAUUAAUUUUUUAUUUUUUACACAGCAUCACCUGCACUAUUAACCUAUAUCCUCUGGAUAGUGUGUGUGUGUGUUGGGGGGAGGGGGGGGUGAUCCUGCUGCCUGUUUCUCUUUAGUAACCACACACCAACUACUGCAGGGCUUGUCCACUCGGGCAAGCGUGUAAAAAUAAUUGUAUUAAAUUAACAGAAUUCAUAAAAGUUUGUUUUGAGGAGGUAAGAUAUGAAAACCUGUGAAUUUAAUGCGGUUUGUCGUUGGACUUUUUCAACUGCACGGAGGACUUGGGUGGAGAUAGAUCAUUGUAUUUAAAGCUUUUCUUUUUUUUUUCUGACCACUUUCUUUCUGCGUUGUUUUUGUCAUCCUUGCGCAAAAUUUAUCAAAGGCGCACAGACUUGAUAAAUAUUGCAAUUUUAUUUUUUUUUACCUCAGAACGCGCAGGAAGCCGCCAAAACCAGUUUGUCUUGCACAGUGAGUUUCAACGGAGUAACAGCUUUGCACAUUCCUCUUUGGAUUUAGAGAGCAAUUAAUUAUUUUAUAAUUAUAAAUCCCUAUUAUCUUCAUUUAGUUGUUUUAUUUUAACAAUAUUUGUUUUAAAAGUUAAAAAAUCUAACUUUUGAACAAUUUUCUAUUUUAAAUUUGAAAAAAAUUGAUUUUCGAUUUGCAGUUUUACAUGAUAAUUAAAAAUUGAGUAAGGGUAGCUAAAGUCAACCAAAUUAAUCAAUUGAAAAAUAUAUUCAUUUGACUUGGGUACACAAUCAACUAUGUUGUUUAGCUAACCUUUCUUUGUUAUUUAGCAAAUUUUUCUAUGCGGUAAGCAAAAAUUUAAUCAGUAUCUAAUUUAAAAAUUGACUUAGUAUUUUACAAAGGUUAAAGGCUAUUCUUAGCACAUUUAAAGAGUAAAAGGGGUUAAUGAACUUUGCUUAUGGAGAAUAUAAACCCCUUUUUUUUUAAAUGUUUAAACAACCAAGCAAGAGUAAAAAAUCUAAAAUUCACAUUACAGUAAAGGAAAUGCAAGAAUGGGACAAAAUUACAUUAUAUUGAAGUUAAAAUAUGAACAGUCUGGGAUCAUUUGUAAGUUUGUUUAAUUUCCAAAUUUUAACAUGUAUAUCUGUACAUCAUAAAUUUAGUUAAAAAUGUAAAUUAGUUUAAUGAAAAAAAAAUGUAGAUAAAACAAAUGUAUUUUCAUCUAAAAUUAACAAAAAAACUAAUUUAAAUAAAAAAAAAAACACACACACACACACAAACCUAGGGUAAUUACAGAAUAUCAAUGCACUAAACUGUGUCCAAUGGUUUUGGCGAUGUUUUGGAAAGGUUGCCUCAACCCAGCUCUAGAUCUGCGCAUUUUUUUUAAGGAUAUGCGCCAAAAUUAAAAAGACGCAUAUAGUAAUUAUCUUCCACGGCCUAAGUCUAAACGGAAUUUGGCUUCUCAGUCAUUUUUGCUAAAAUGGCAUAUACGAAAAAGGCGCAAAAUAAAUGCGCAAAUGACAAAAAAUGCGCAACAAUGCACCUUUUUAAAGCAAAAAUAAUGACAGGAACAGCUUGAUAAAUCUCCCCCUAUGUCCAUAGUAAUACGAUCCCAAAAUUUGAUGAUCCAGGCAUAAAGGAAAUACUUUUCACUAUAGAACAGCCCGCACCAAAAUAACAGUUCCUCAAUAAAUAGAAAUGUAGAAGGACCAGAGAUAUGGAAAGGCAAUUAAUCAAGGAGCUGCAGAGCUCCCAGAGUGUCCCCCAAAGCACCCAGGCAAUACCAUUGCCUCAAAUGGAAGGGCUUGACUAUGUCCUAUAUUUCUGAAGCUGUGUAAUGUGCUGUAAUAAACACCUGCCAUAUAUGAUUGAA